rnacentral:rRNA from 1 species
UACAGGGGUCUCAAGCGUUGUUCGGAUUCAUUGGGCGUAAAGGGUGCGUAGGUGGCGCCGUAAGUCGGGUGUGAAAUUUCGGAGCUUAACUCCGAAACUGCAUUCGAUACUGCGGUGCUUGAGGACUGGAGAGGAGACUGGAAUUCAUGGUGUAGCAGUGAAAUGCGUAGAGAUCAUGAGGAAGACCAGUGGCGAAGGCGGGUCUCUGGACAGUUCCUGACACUGAGGCACGAAGGCCAGGGGAGCAAACGGG